UUUGUGCAUAGGGUUUGGCAAAAAAAAAGCUUAUUUAUGCAAGAAUAGAGCAAUUUUCAGGGCUUGUCAACACUGACGCUUUUUGUUUCUCUGCUCCCUCCAUCACAGUACCUUUCAUCUGCGGAAUUCACAACAAUGCAAUAAUCCUCCUAACAGCUUUUGUAGGAUGUAGCAAGAGGCAUUACUUGGAGGAGCCAUGAUAUUUUUAUAUGUAUGGAAAGAAGCAGAGCAACUGUGGAAGAAAAGAAGGGGACGUGACCAAAGGAAUUUGGGAAGUGAAGAGAAACUGCUCAGCCAAUGUGGCUAAGUAGCUUUGGCCACAGUAAAUGAAUUUAUUUGGAAAUUAGCUGCAUCUAAAUGGUUUUGUCACGUGUUCAGUGUGAUGUAGAAACCUAGCACCUGCUGUUAACACAGUGGUUUGCACAGGUAAGCAAGCUUAUGAAUAGUGUGUGCUACUGAGUUGGCAGUUUAAACUAACAGAUACCAGAACACCCUAGAUUUCAGCUGGCUGAAGCCCUAAUGUACUUCUGUGUAUUUUCUUCCCUUUCAUUCUUCCCUCUACAGACUGAAAAAAUGGUAAAGAGAAGCUCUAACCCAACAGUAGCACUUUCAAACAUCUUCAUUUCUAAAUGACAACAAAUAAUAAAGAUACUUACAUUUUGCUAAAACUAGGCAUAUACUAAAAUAGGGAUAUGAGCUAGUUGUAUCAAAACCUCCAGUCAUUGUAGUUGCAACCAUUUCCACCAGCUGAGAACAAAGUUCCUGAUUCACAGAAGUGCUGAGAACCUGCUGCUCCAGUUGAAGAGGCUGAGAGAGGCAGGCUGUCAUCACGUCUGGCAGUCAGACCAUGUGUGAUUCAGUUUGGGGCCCUCAAAUCUGCAGCCUUCGCGUAUUAACUUGGCUGUGACUUGCACUGGGGGAAAUCUGCAUUGGACGAUACACUAUAGCACAUUGCUGGACUCUAAUCUUGCACAAAGUCCUAGCUUCUCUCACAGAACACUGACUGCUUUUUCACAGGUCUUUCCUAACAUGGU